AUUGAACGCUGGCGGCAGGCCUAACACAUGCAAGUCGAACGGUAACAGAAAGCAGCUUGCUGCUUUGCUGACGAGUGGCGGACGGGUGAGUAAUGUCUGGGAAACUGCCUGAUGGAGGGGGAUAACUACUGGAAACGGUAGCUAAUACCGCAUAACGUCGCAAGACCAAAGAGGGGGACCUUCGGGCCUCUUGCCAUCGGAUGUGCCCAGAUGGGAUUAGCUAGUAGGUGGGGUAAAGGCUCACCUAGGCGACGAUCCCUAGCUGGUCUGAGAGGAUGACCAGCCACACUGGAACUGAGACACGGUCCAGACUCCUACGGGAGGCAGCAGUGGGGAAUAUUGCACAAUGGGCGCAAGCCUGAUGCAGCCAUGCCGCGUGUAUGAAGAAGGCCUUCGGGUUGUAAAGUACUUUCAGCGGGGAGGAAGGGAGUAAAGUUAAUACCUUUGCUCAUUGACGUUACCCGCAGAAGAAGCACCGGCUAACUCCGUGCCAGCAGCCGCGGUAAUACGGAGGGUGCAAGCGUUAAUCGGAAUUACUGGGCGCAAAGCGCACGCAGGCGGUUUGUUAAGUCAGAUGUGAAAUCCCCGGGCUCAACCUGGGAACUGCAUCUGAUACUGGCAAGCUUGAGUCUCGUAGAGGGGGGUAGAAUUCCAGGUGUAGCGGUGAAAUGCGUAGAGAUCUGGAGGAAUACCGGUGGCGAAGGCGGCCCCCUGGACGAAGACUGACGCUCAGGUGCGAAAGCGUGGGGAGCAAACAGG
rnacentral:rRNA from 1 species